rnacentral:misc_RNA from 1 species
AUUGCCAGCACUAUUAGUGGCUGUCAUCUUGGUAUUCUUAGUUACUGUUACAACUUUGUAUGUGUGAUGACAAAAUACAUGUUAAAUUUCCUGUUGGAAUAGGAGAAAACGUCUUAGCAAUGGAAGUAGGGUAUAGUAGCAACACUGUAACAGCAAUAGUGUGGCACUCGAUGUGUCAUGUACCUUUUUGAAGUGUUGGGCAUCUUUCUUCAACCUAGCUUUUCAAAAAAUAGUGCUAGGACCAAAGGUGGAGCUUAAUCUUCUGGAAAAA